rnacentral:rRNA from 1 species
UACGUAGGGGGCAAGCGUUAUCCGGAUUUACUGGGUGUAAAGGGAGCGUAGACGGUUGUAUAAGUCUGGAGUGAAAGCCCGGGGCCCAACCCCGGGACUGCUCUGGAAACUAUGUGACUGGAGUGCAGGAGAGGUAAGCGGAAUUCCUGGUGUAGCGGUGAAAUGCGUAGAUAUCAGGAGGAACACCAGUGGCGAAGGCGGCUUACUGGACUGUAAAUGACGCUGAGGCUCGAAAGCGUGGGGAGCAAACAGG